CUCCUUUGAUCGUAUUAUUUUGAUCGUAAAAUGGUACCUUUGUCCAUUUUAGGUCAAAAUGGUCGAUUUUUUAAUUCAUAUGAAUUUAUAUGCACGUAAUUUUUCUAAUUCUUUAUAUCAGAUUAAUGUAAUAAUGAAGAGGUACUGAUUUUGAAUGCCUUUAAUUGAUGGAAAUAGAAGCAACUAUAAAUAUGAUUACAACAUAAUGAAGAAAGAAGAGCUACUGAUUUUGAACUCCUUUAAAUAAUGGAAAUAUUUUUCUAAUUCUUUAUAUCAGAUUAGUAUAAUGAAGAGCUACUGAUUUUGAAUGCCUUUAAUUGAUGGAAAUAGAAGCAACUAUAAAUAUGAUUACAAUAUAAUGAAAAAAGAGCUACUGAUUUUGAACUCCUUAAAUAAUGAAAUAUUUUUCUAAUUCUUUAUAUCAGAUUAGUAUAAUGAAGAAAGAAGAGCUACUGAUUUUGAACUCCUUAAAUAAUGGAAAUAGAAGCAACUGAUAAAUAUGAUUAAAAUUUAUUAUUUAUUAGAUAAUGAAGAAAGAAGAGCUACUGAUUUUGAACUCCUUUAAAUAAUGGAAAUAGAAGCAAUGGAUAAAUAUGAUUACAAUUUAUUAUUUAUUAGAUAAUUAUAACUUAUAAAUAAAAUUAAUUGAUAAUUUGGUCAGAAUAUUAUAUUUUAUUAUACAUCUAUAUUAUAAUUAUACAUAAGUUUUAAACAAAUAAAUAUUUAUUUAUAAUUUUUAAAUUAUAUUGAGUAAUUAGAUUUUGAAUAUUCUUUUCUUUUGUUAUAUAUUAUCCAUCAUGAUACAAGCACAAAUUCCCUUUUGAAGUUGGAAUAUAUUGUAUAUCUAAAAAUUACAGUGUCAAAAUAUAAAUUAUUUAUAAUCAGAUUAUGUAAAUGUAAUAAUCAGAUUAUGUAAAUGUAAUAAUAUAAUUUAUUUACUUAAAUUUUCAUUGUUGGAAUUAUGUAAGUCUAAUA